CGCUAUCACUCCUACGGGGAGCAGCAGUAGGGAAUCUUCCACAAUGGGCGCAAGCCUGAUGGAGCAACACCGCGUGAGUGAAGAAGGGUUUCGGCUCGUAAAGCUCUGUUGUUUAAAGAAGAACACGUAUGAGAGUAACUGUUCAUACGUUGACGGUAUUUAACCAGAAAGUCACGGCUAACUACGUGCCAGCAGCCGCGGUAAUACGUAGGUGGCAAGCGUUAUCCGGAUUUAUUGGGCGUAAAGAGAGUGCAGGCGGUUUUCUAAGUCUGAUGUGAAAGCCUUCGGCUUAACCGGAGAAGUGCAUCGGAAACUGGAUAACUUGAGUGCAGAAGAGGGUAGUGGAACUCCAUGUGUAGCGGUGGAAUGCGUAGAUAUAUGGAAGAACACCAGUGGCGAAGGCGGCUACCUGGUCUGCAACUGACGCUGAGACUCGAAAGCAUGGGUAGCGAACAGGAUUAGAUACCCUGGUAG
rnacentral:rRNA from 1 species